rnacentral:rRNA from 1 species
GUGAGGAAUUUUCCGCAAUGGGCGAAAGCCUGACGGAGCAAUGCCGCGUGAAGGAUGAAGGCCUAUGGGUUGUAAACUUCUUUUCUCAGAAAAGAAUUAUGACGGUAUCUGAGGAAUAAGCAUCGGCUAACUCUGUGCCAGCAGCCGCGGUAAGACAGAGGAUGCAAGCGUUAUCCGGAAUGAUUGGGCGUAAAGCGUCUGUAGGUUGUUUAAAAAGUAUUCUGUCAAAGAUUAGGGCUUAACCCUAGAUAGGCAGAAUAAACUUUUAAGCUAGAGUUUGGUAGAGGCAGAGGGAAUUCCCGGUGGAGCGGUGAAAUGCGUAGAUAUCGGGAGGAACACCAAAGGCGAAGGCACUCUGCUGGGCCAAUACUAACACUGAGAGACGAAAGCGAGGGGAGCAAAUGGGAUUAGAAACCCUAAUAGUCC